CUGCUGAGGAGUUCCACAAUAGAACGAAACAGCUGUCAAGCAG
rnacentral:hammerhead_ribozyme from 1 species